UUCGCAAUGCCCGAAAGGGUGACGAAGCGACGCCGCGUGCGGGAAGAAGGCCUUCGGGUUGUAAACCGCUGUCGGGAGUUAGGAAAUGCAAGGAUGUUAAUAGCAUCUUUGCUUGACUAAGGCUCCGGAGGAAGCCACGGCUAACUCUGUGCCAGCAGCCGCGGUAAUACAGAGGCGGCAAGCGUUGUUCGGAAUUAUUGGGCGUAAAGAGCACGUAGGCGGCCGUGUAAGUCGGUUGUGAAAGCCUUCCGCUCAACGGGAGAACGGCAUCCGAUACUGCAUGGCUCGAGUGCGGGAGGGGAGAGUGGAACUUCUGGUGGAGCGGCGAAAUGCGUAGAUACCAGAAGGAACGUCGGCGGCGAAAGCGACUCUCUGGCCUAUUACUGACACUGAGUGUGCGAAAGUUAGGGGAGCAAACGGGAUUAGAUACCCCGGUAGUCCUAACUGUAAACGAUGGGCACUAAGUAGAGGGGUUUU
rnacentral:rRNA from 1 species